rnacentral:rRNA from 1 species
UACGGGGGGUGCGAGCGUUGUCCGGAUUCACUGGGCGUAAAGGGCGCGUAGGCGGCUGACUCAGUCCGAUUCUUAAGUGCGGGGCUCACCCCCGUGACGGGUCGGGGACGGGUCGGCUGGGGCGCGGCAGAGGGGGACGGAAUGCCGGGGGUAGUGGUGAAAUGCGUAGAGAUCCGGCGGAACACCGGUGGUGAAGACGGUUCCCUGGGCCGAGGGCCGACGCUGAGGCGCGAGAGCGUGGGGAGCGAACCGG